CUUGAUCGAGCCGAGCCACAGCGGCCGCUCGGGGGAGUGGUCCUGCCCGUAGGUGUUGAGGAGGGCCUGCGCCUC
rfam:Streptomyces sp. TSRI0107 scaffold2, whole genome shotgun sequence.